rnacentral:rRNA from 1 species
GGAAGGAUCAUUACUGAAUUGUCAAACGGGCUGUUGCUGGUCCUCAAAUGGGGACAUGUGCACGCUCUGUUUACACAUCCACUCACACCUGUGCACCCUCUGUAGUUUUACGGUCUGGGGGACCCUGUCUUCCUUCCGUAGUUCUACGUCUUUACACACACACUGUAAUAAAGUCUUAUGGAAUGUAUGCCGCGUCUAACGCAAAACAAUACAACUUUCAGCAACGGAUCUCUUGGCUCUCGCAUCGAUGAAGAACGCAGCGAAAUGCGAUAAGUAAUGUGAAUUGCAGAAUUCAGUGAAUCAUCGAAUCUUUGAACGCACCUUGCGCCCCUUGGAUAUUCCGAGGGGCAUGCCUGUUUGAGUAUCAUGAACACCUCAACUCUCAUGGUUUGCCGUGACGAGCUUGGACCUUGGGGGUUUUGCUGGCCUGUGGUCGGCUCCUCUCAAAUGAAUCAGCCUCCCAGUGUUUGGUGGCAUCACGAGUGUGAUAACUAUCUACGCUCGCGGUUUUCCACCAGGUAACCUUUGGUGACAAAGGUUCGCUGGAGCUCACAGAUGUCUCUCCUCAGCGAGGACAGCUUUUUAACGUUCGAUCUCAAAUCAGGUAGGACUACCCGCUGAACUUAAGCAUAUCAAUAAGCGGAGGAAAAGAAACUAACAAGGAUUCCCCUAGUAACUGCGAGUGAAGCGGGAAGAGCUCAAAUUUAAAAUCUGGCGUGCCUCUGGUCGU